rnacentral:rRNA from 1 species
CUACGGGGGGCUCCAGUGGGGAAUUUUGGACAAUGGGCGAAAGCCUGAUCCAGCCAUUCCGCGUGAGUGAUGAAGGCCUUCGGGUUGUAAAGCUCUUUCGGCCGGGAAGAAAUCGUGCAGGCUAAUAUCCUGCAUGGAUGACGGUACCGGAUCAAGAAGCACCGGCUAACUACGUGCCAGCAGCCGCGGUAAUACGUAGGGUGCGAGCGUUAAUCGGAAUUACUGGGCGUAAAGCGUGCGCAGGCGGAUGUUUAAGCCAGAUGUGAAAUCCCCGGGCUUAACCUGGGAAUGGCAUUUGGAACUGGACAUCUAGAGUGUGUCAGAGGGGGGUGGAAUUCCACGUGUAGCAGUGAAAUGCGUAGAGAUGUGGAGGAACACCGAUGGCGAAGGCAGCCCCCUGGGAUAACACUGACGCUCAUGCACGAAAGCGUGGGGAGCAAACAGGAUUAGAUACCCGGGUAGUC